UGCUAGCGGCGGCGCUUUUGCUGUCGACUGGCGAUGCUGGAGCACCCUUGGUUUUCCUGCGUAACCGUUUCGGUUUUGAGCUGGCAGCGUUUAUCAUACUCUCGCACACAGUUAGGGAAUGUCAACGGAAUUCCAGAUCCUUCCCAACAAAACCUCUACACAAAGUUGGCAAGCUUUCCACAGCGCUGAUGGGACCCUCAGAAACCAGCAAUGCCAAGCUGAGCUGCAGAGAGAGCCCCAGAGUCUGCAGUAGCUUUGAAGAAAAAUAAAAGCUAGGCAUGAAGAUGCCCAGUGUCACCCCAGUGCUGGGGACAGGGGACAGGCAGGACCCUGGGCUCCUGCAUCAGUCAGCCUAGCCUACUCCAUGAGCUGCAGGUCAGUGAGAGACCUUGUCUCCAAGUAGGGAAAGGACACAGUAUCUGAGUUUGUACUCUGCAUGUACACAAGUGUGCCUGUGUCAAGCCAGCCAUGUGCCUAUAACCCAAGCACUCAGGAGGCCAAGGCAGGCAAGUAAGCUCUAAGCCAGCCUAAACUACAAAAGUAAACCAUGUGUUUAAAAUAAAA